GAACUAGAUGCGCUUCUUCUACUGAAGUACACUUGCAUAGUCAAUAGUCAUAUCCAGUUGCUAUAUAGUUUCAAAGUUUGUAAAACCUAAAUUCAUGAUAAAUUCGUUAUUGGUUGGUUUAAUUUGUUACUUGGCAACCCAGAUUCCAACGAACAAAACACACCACAGGCAGCCAAUGCUGGGGGUGUUGUUUCGGUAUAAUAGAGCAU